CAGAGGGUGCAAGCGUUGUUCGGAAUCACUGGGCGUAAAGCGCGCGCAGGCGGAUGGUUGCGUCCGGAGUGAAAUUUCGCCGCUCAACGGCGAAGCUGCUUUGGAUACGGGCCGUCUAGGGACCGGUAGAGGCUGGUAGAAUUGCAGGUGUAGCGGUGGAAUGCGUAGAGAUCUGCAAGAAUACCCGUGGCGAAGGCGGCCAGCUGGGCCGGAUCCGACGCUGAGGCGCGAAAGCGUGGGGAGCAAACAGGAUUAGAUACCCUGGUAGUCCACGCCGUAAACGAUGGGCACUAGGUGCCGGGGGGAGCGACCCCCUCGGUGCCGCAGCUAACGCGAUAAGUGCCCCGCCUGGGGAGUACGGCCGCAAGGCUG
rnacentral:rRNA from 1 species